GGUGGGGGAUGACGUCAAAUCAUCAUGCCCCUUAUGACCUGGGCUACACACGUGCUACAAUGGAUGGUACAACGAGUUGCGAGACCGCGAGGUCAAGCUAAUCUCUUAAAGCCAUUCUCAGUUCGGACUGUAGGCUGCAACUCGCCUACACGAAGUCGGAAUCGCUAGUAAUCGCGGAUCAGCACGCCGCGGUGAAUACGUUCCCGGGCCUUGUACACACCGCCCGUCACACCAUGAGAGUUUGUAACACCC
rnacentral:rRNA from 1 species